rnacentral:tRNA from 1 species
GGCAUGGUGGCUCAGUGGUUAGAGCGCCUGCCUCAUGAACGGGAGGUCGUGGGUUCGAACCCCGGCCAAGUCA